GACUCUCGGCAACGGAUAUCUCGGCUCUCGCAUCGAUGAAGAACGCAGCGAAAUGCGAUACUUGGUGUGAAUUGCAGAAUCCCGUGAAUCAUCGAGUCUUUGAACGCAAGUUGCGCCCGAGGCCCUUCGGCCGAGGGCACAUCUGCUUGGGCGUCGACAGAG
rnacentral:rRNA from 1 species